UACGUAGGGUGCAGGCGUUAAUCGGAAUUACUGGGCGUAAAGCGUGCGCAGGCGGUUAUGCAAGACAGAUGUGAAAUCCCCGGGCUCAACCUGGGAAUGGCAUUUGGGACUGCAAGGCUUGAGUGCGGCAGAGGAGACUGGAAUUCCUGGUGUAGCAGUGAAAUGCGUAGAUAUCAGGAGGAAUACCGAUGGCGAAGGCAGGUCUCUGGGCUGACACUGACGCUCAUGCACGAAAGCGUGGGGAGCAAACAGG
rnacentral:rRNA from 1 species